rnacentral:lncRNA from 1 species
UAUUUCUAAAAUCCAUAUCCAUUUUAUAACCGAAUAUCCAUUUCCAUAAACCAAGUUACAACCAUUCUUAUUCUUUACAAUCACUUCAAUCAAGUUCAAAUUACAGCCAAAACCUAAUUACAUGGUCAUUUCUAAACCAAUACCAUUAUACAACCACUGCAAUUUCUAAUCCAAGGUUACAAGGUAACAUUACCACAUACAUUUCAUAAACUACAUAACCAUUACAACCAUUUCAUCACACUUCAAAUUCAAUAAUCUCAUACAUUUCUACUAUUACACAACAUGAACAUUUCAUAAACUACAUAACCAUUACAACCAUUUCAUCACACUUCAAAUUCAAUAAUCUCAUACAUUUCUACUAUUACACAACAUGAGCCAAUGCGACAAAGUCCGAAACAGCUCCAUUGCAUUUUACCAUCCAAGAUUCCAAGCAAGCCCCGAACUAAGCAACUCGCAUCCA